rnacentral:lncRNA from 1 species
UGACAGCGGCAGCAGCGGCGGCAGCGGGCGCUCAGGGUUGAGCAGGCUGUUCGGUGGGUUUGGAGGCAAGCGUGGCGGCGGUCGGUUGGAGGGAGAGGGCGGCGAGGACGUUGAGGAGUCGGGGUGGGUGUCGCACCUGGAUGGCGUGCAGGGUGUGCGGCGCGCGCUGCUGGCUCUGAGCGGCGUGCGGGCGAGUCAGCUGCUUGCGGUGGAGGUGCUGUGGACGCCGGAGCAGGCCGGCGACACGUUCAGUCGGGAGGACCUGCUGGAGGAUUACCCGCACCUGCAGCCGCUGUGAGGUAGGCAGAGCAGAUGUGGGGCGCUGGUGCGGUUAGGUGGAGAGGGGAGGCAAUCAGAGGUUGGGAAGAGGGCUGCAGUUAGGGAGUGGCCAUGCUGAGAUGGGAUUGUAAGAGUAGAAGCGGAGUGUUGAAAGUGGGAAACUCGCAGGAGCAAGUACAGAGGCCCUGCAAAUAAGGGACAAGGGCAGAUCCACAGAAGGACUUGAGUAUUUUGUAUUGAUUGUAUUGAUUGGCGGCGGUGCUUUUGUAGGCGGGCGGUGCCUGUACGAACCGCCCCCAGCUAUGUCCGAGGAAUGAGGUAGACGCUUGUGGCCUCAGACUGGAGACGUGGCUUGGGCUCAACCCACUGCUCCCCGCCCUGCGAGGGGAAACCAUUUUUCCUGUCCAUGAAGUGCGGAAAUGCAGAAGUGCGGAAAUGCGCAAUCAGGCGCAAUACGGUAGCGAGCGAGGGCGGCGACGAUGUUGGCGGGACGGAUGCCGUGAUGAGUCCGUCCUGCGCGUGUCAGUAGUGUGCAGUUGUGUCAUCAGCGGCUUCAGCAAUAACAUACUGCCGCAGCUGUCGUGCGCUGCCGCCCGCAACUGCUGUUCAGCAGGUCACAGCGGCAGUGCGUGCUAGAUGGUGGCUGGAGAGCAAGUGCGUGUCCGCCAACGUACAGCGGCCAACGCGCAGGAGUUGCGGCGCUUCAUCACGUGCGUGUGGGCUUACUUGGUUGGUGGCUUACUUUCACUUCAUCGACGGCCUGGAGCUCGGCAGGCACACGCACCAGCCGCAUUUGCGGCAUUUCAUGUGCACGGAUGUACGUAUGGCGCCGCUGCGUGCGUUGGGCUUAGCAGCAGGUAUCGCAUCACCAGCAGCGAGGGACAGCAGGUAGGGGCAGCGGUGGUGACAGCAGCAACGGCAGGGCACCAUUACGGAAGGGCACCACGGCACAACGCAGCUAGCAGUGGCAACAGCAGGCGCGUCCGAAGGGACGACCAGCGCUCCAGCGCUGGCAGGCCUGAAUCCUCAGUGCACGGGUUGUGCCGGCAACCGGCCAUACGCGCGCGCAAUGCGCAUCCAAUACCUAAACAUGUAUGGGGGUGGCGGUGCAUUGGCGGCAGCGCCGGCGCAAGACGGCAAGGGCUAGGGCGGGCUGCGGCACCUCCUACACCAUUAUCACCACGAGCGGGGACAUCGGCGGUGGCGUUUGACUAUGCACAUGAGCUGCAUUGAUGCAUCCAGCCAAAGGAUGGAUGGUUUAAGGAGCCGUGGAUGCCGUGGCCGGCAAUGUGUACAGUAUGAAAGGCAAUUCAUGUAAUGACCAUACCAUGAUGUCUCACGCCGUGUCAGGGUGUUGUGGAAGCGAGAUGUGGCUGAGGACUGUGCUACUGGAGGAACAGAUGGAGGCAGGGAGGGGGGGGGGGGGGGCGGCAUGAGCGGCCCUCGGGAAGGAGUCGGAAGUCGGGGCCUGCAGCUCUGCCCUUGGGCCUUGGCAUCCUGGUUCCAAACUUGCACGAUUGUACACCUAGUUGGCUUUACAGUCUGUGGUUCUUGUCCUUUUGCUCCCAGGCUUAGCCUGUGUCGCUUGUACCCGUUGGAAGCCCUACAUCCUCACACUACUGGUAAACUGAAAUAGUAUGCUGUCCCAUAGAUAUGCACAGGCUCCUAUCUCUAGGCGUAGACAGGAGCAAGUCGCAACGCGGCUCAAGUCGGUAUUGACGAUUCCCGGCAGGGCACUCGCGAGUGGCCCUGCCCGGCGCCCCGCGACAGUCAAUCGCUAUUCGUCAUGCAGCAGCAGCUCUGACAGGCAGUCCCGAUGGACUCCAAGGGCAGCCGGAAGCACUCAGCAAAUCGCAACAUCGCCGGGGCCCAGCGCUGCCCCAGCUGCCAGCUGCUCCUUCCCCCGCGGCCCCCUGGUCAACGAGUCAACGCCGCAACGUCAUGACUGGUGGCAGUGGCUGACGUCCGUGGUGGCGUCUGCGGGGCGCGUCGCGGCGCUGGCGCUUGUGGUGGCGUCGCUGGUGAGCGCACGUGGGGAGUUAGCUCUGGUUAGUUCCAUCCUAACCCCCAUGUUACACCCUGGCGAAGCACAACACACAUUGCAACCUCCCUUUUUUUACCGCACAUCCAUGCGAUGCACCUCUCAUGCGGUCAUGCCUCUUCCACACAUGCGUAGGUCCUGGCGUCCCCUGGCGCCGCCCUAGCCAAGGGCUCUGGCGGUCGGGCAGGAGGCCGCGGCGGCCGCAGCAGGGGCGGCAGUAGCAGCCGCUCCAACGGCAGUAGCAGCGGCGGCGGCUGGUCAUCUUCCUUUGGCGGCGGCGGAGGCGGCAGGACUAGCUACGGCCGGUCUGCUCUCGGCGGCGGCUACGGAGGCGGCGGCGCCAGGGAAAGUUUCAGCAUAGUUCGAACGAUGAUUUCAUUUCCCUACAACGGCAUUUACACGCAUCUGCCCGGGGGCCCCAGCGCUGGCAGCAGCUACGGCUACAGCGGCAGUAGCAUACCCGCCGCCAAUGCGUUCCGGGUGGCUGUAGCAACCCUGCUGAGCUCUGUGUUCUGGAUCGUGCUGAUUCGGGCCUACUGGCUCUUCGUGACCGACCCUGUGGGUCUCACGCUAGACACAUUCCUCAUCGGCAAACGAGGUGGCCGCGGAGGAAGCACCAGCGGGAGCGGGAGCGAUGGGUGGAGUGGCGGCGACAGCCUGGCGGCGCGUGGGGCGCCGGUGGCCGUGUGCCGGGUGCAGGUGGCGGUGCUGGCCUCGGCGAGGGAGGAGCUGCAGGUAGGCGUGAGCGGGGGGCGUGUGUAUGUGUAGGGGGUGGGGCGGGGGUGGGGGCGGGCGUUGCGCGUGUGGUCAGGCGUGGACGGCGCUGGCUUCGGUUGUGAGCCUGGACACAGCUCAGCCUGGGUUUGGAGUUGAGCCAAGUCUCUCCGUACAGGAGUGUGCGAAGUCCUCGCCAGGGUUUAUUAUAAGAGCUAUUUGUUAGAGGGCAUCGGUCGGCUGCGUCCCCUGCCCUCCCUCGCGGCCUUUCCUCACGUUCCGCCCCCUCACGCCACCGCAGACCAAGCUAGCGCGGCUGACUGAGGAGGUGGACACGCGCAGCCCCAUGGGACUGCACACGCUGCUGCACGGUGCGUGCGUGUGUCCAUACAUGUUUGUGCGUACGUGUGUGCGUGCGUGUGUGCGUGUGUAUGUGUGUGUGUGUGUGUGUGUGUGUGUGUGUGUGUGUUAAAAAACGAAGCGAAAGCCCGCCCAAUGUGUGUGUGUGUGUGUGUGCGUGUGUGCGUGUCUCUCCCGGUGUGUGCUCACUUGCUCAUCCGGGUCCACCUCCUGUCACCCAGCCCUCUCAUCUGGCCCCUGGCCCUCUCAUCUGGCCCCUGGCCCUCUCAUCUGGCCCCUCUCACCUGGCCCCUCACGCCCGCCCCGCACACCACCCUCCCACCACAGAGACUGCGCUGCUGCUGCUGCGGCACAGCGAGGCGUUUGCCUACGGCGGCGUGCAGGAGGCGGCGGCGGCGAGCGAGGCGGCGGCGGAGGCGGCCUUCGACCGACUGAGCCUGGCGGAGCGAAGCCGAUUCAAGUGCGUGGCCGUGUGUGUGUGUGUGUGUGUGUGUGUGUGUGUGUGUGUGUGUGUGUGUGUGUGUGUGUGUGUGUGUGUGUGUGUGUGUGUGUGUGUGUGUGUGUGUGUGUGUGUGUGUGUGUGUGUGUGUGUGUGUGUGUGUGUGUGUGUGUGUGUGUGUGUGUGUGUGUGUAUAUGUGUAUGUGUGGCGGGCGGCGGCGGCGGCGGCAGGGCGCAUGGGAAUGAUGGGAACUCGCAAGUUUCGAAUAAGCAAAACAUGGGAUGUAGCUCAACAGCACCUGCGCCUUGCCACACCGCUUGCCACAGGGAGGAGACCCUGUCCAACGUGCAGGGCCGCAAGCAGCGCUCCCACAUGACUGCUGCUGCUGUCGCCUCCGCCAGCAGCGGGCGGCGGCGUGAGGCCGUUGAUGAACUGGUGGUGGUUACGCUGCUGCUGUUGGCGCACCCGCCCCUGACCUGGCUGCUCACAAAUGCUGGCGCCGCCGGGGCCGCAGCGGCGACGGGCUCCCUGCUUGGCGUGCGCGAUGCGGCGACCGUGCCGCGCGAGAGUGCUGGCGCCAGCAGCAGCAGUGGCGGCGACGGCAUCUGGUCGAGCAUGCUGCGCGGGUUGGGUGCCAAGGGUGGGAGCGGGAAGCAGGAGGGGGUUGAGGAGUCGGGGUGGGUGUCGCACCUGGAUGGCGUGCAGGGUGUGCGGCGCGCGCUGCUGGCUCUGAGCGGCGUGUGGGCGAGUCAGCUGCUCGCGGUGGAGGUGCUGUGGACGCCGGAGCAGGCCGGCGACACGUUCAGUCGGGAGGACCUGCUGGAGGAUUACCCGCACCUGCAGCCGCUGUGAGGGGGAAGCAGAUGUGGAUGGGGCACUGGUGUGGUGACGUGGAGUGGGGAGGCAAUCAGAGGUUAGGAAGAGGCCUGCAGUGAGCAGGGGUGCGGGGUGGCCAACUCGCCCCAUGUGAUCGGUAACGGUCGGCAACCGCCCCUAAUUCCCAGUUGCGACCAGGCCCCGGCCCGAUUUCUUUGCAUAGACCUAUAAGGAGUACCCCAUAGAAGACCCCUGGCGCGCCGGGCGACUAGUUUACUGGCCUUUGACGAAACUUGACCAUUUGAACAGCAUUACCGCAUUUCCAGCCUCGAUGCAGCGCCCGGUGCGCCAGGUGACCAUCUAGAAGUGUUACGAAGUAGAUGGAGCGAAGCGGACAAGGCGGUCGCUGUUGGCUGCUCUGGGCGCUGGAGGGCUCUGCUCUGACGGUAGGGUCGCCGGCACCGCUCUUAGUCUUGUUCCGAUGAAUGAUAUGGGCUAUCCUUUGCUCCUAUAUUUAGCCUAGCGCAUCGGGCAUAUCAUCUGAGGCGUCGCUGGCUUUGGUUGCUUCACAUUUUAACGCUCUGCUGCUUCUUAUACCUGUAUCAAGCCUUUCCGCUAUUACCUGUACCAUAUCAACGAGGUGGUCAUGGACGAAAUCUGCAAAGCGUUGCCCGCGCGUCCAGGAUUUUAGCUCGCAGUUUGAACCGGGUGUCCGGGUGCAGAGGGGCCAGCUUUUGGUAUCCGCUACCAGCACCACAUGCAUCAACACCAGGGAUCAUGGCACCUGCAGCGCACUGCAGUUUAACCAAUGCAGUUUCGAACUCGGGGCGCCAUGCAACAUUCCUUGCACGUCAUAAAUUGUUUGCCUUGGCUCGUUCCGCUAUUUCUAGUAUACUCAGGAUGCCGAUUGACUGGAUGGAGGGUCGAGCGCACCUACGGCACGCCAGCCAUGUCAGCUCGCAGCAUCGGGAUGCACUGGCCCCGGGCAAACGCAUGCAUACAGCCGUGCCCACAUUGUGUUUUGUUAUCAUAUGAGCAUAUGGUCAACAUAGGGCUAGUUCCCUGUGGUUAACAACGCCCGGUCUGGUGGUGGCGUGCCGAUUGCAUGUCAUCGACCCACAUUCCUAACCAUUACUUGCUGUUAUCUGAGGUGUAUGAAUUGGGUUCUCUGUUGUGCGUGCAGGCGUUCGCUGCAAUGGGCGUCGAGAAGGGCUGGUGCGUUCUGUGCGGCACGUACGUCAAGUCGAAGGACCUUUCGCCACCCUUUCCACGGGCGGCAUGCGCCCCGACUACUGCAAUGGAACCGGCGAUUGCUGUUCUUACGUGCGGGCGGGCGGGGCCGCGGCAGGGGCAGGGGCAGGGGCCGCGCACAGCCCGCUGCUGACAAGGACG